GAUGAACGCUGGCGGCGUGCCUAAUACAUGCAAGUCGAGCGAACAGAUGAGAAGCUUGCUUCUCUGAUGUUAGCGGCGGACGGGUGAGUAACACGUGGGUAACCUGCCUAUAAGACUGGGAUAACUCCGGGAAACCGGGGCUAAUACCGGGUAAUAUUUUGAACCGCAUGGUUCAAUAGUGAAAGACGGUUUCGGCUGUCACUUAUAGAUGGAACCGCGCCGUAUUAGCUAGUUGGUAAGGUAACGGCUUACCAAGGCGACGAUACGUAGCCGACCUGAGAGGGUGAUCGGCCACACUGGAACUGAGACACGGUCCAGACUCCUACGGGAGGCAGCAGUAGGGAAUCUUCCGCAAUGGGCGAAAGCCUGACGGAGCAACGCCGCGUGAGUGAUGAAGGUCUUCGGAUCGUAAAACUCUGUUGUUAGGGAAGAACAAAUUUGUUAGUAACUGAACAAGUCUUGACGGUACCUAACCAGAAAGCCACGGCUAACUACGUGCCAGCAGCCGCCGUAA
rnacentral:rRNA from 1 species